GGCUCUGCAGGGUGUCUGUGUCCAGGGGGCAUAGCGGCUCACCUGGUAACCUGAAGGUUGCUGGUUUGAUCCCCGGGCUCGAGUGUCGAGGUGUCCCUGAGCAAGGCGCACUCACGCUCACUGCUCCCGACGAGCUGGCUGUCGCCCUGCGAGUUGCCGCUGGUUAGAACAUGCUCCAGUAGUCUGACCGCUGGUCAGGGAGUCGUCACCAUGGCCCUGAGCCCCGCCCCUCCCACCCCUGCUGCUCGCCAACAGAGAUCACCAUGGCAACCACCAGGAGCCACCCGGCGACGCCCCUAGCGACCGCCUCACCCCAGCCCGUUAGGCGACGCCCCGCGGCCCACGACGGACGGACGACGGACGGAC
ensembl:lncRNA